rnacentral:tRNA from 1 species
GCCUGGGUUGCUCAGUCAGGUGAGCGUCUGACUUCAGCUCAGGUCAUGAUCUCGUGGUCUGUGGGUUCGAGCCCUGCGUCAGGCU